UUUUGCAACCUCCGUACGGCCCCGUUGAAUAAACACAUCGACGAUUUCAUCACCAACCCUUAGUUUGGCGGAGGGAUGUUAACUACCUCGCCUGGUAUGCAGGAAGUUGUGGGUUCAUGGGUGUGACCCUGACGACGCCUGCUGCUCUAUAUUUUGAGUUUGUUCGGUCUUGUCCCGUGGUCGCGUGUAUUUGUCUCCGGCUCCUCCGAUUUUUCCCCCUCCACAUUUAGAAACAACUCAACGCGCAUAGAGAGUAUUUGGCUGCUGUCAAUUUCCACACGACGACGAUAAACCACUUCGGUGACGUAUCACUUGUGAUAGCCAGAUCACUUCUGAAAAAGGGGAAAUAUAGGUCAGUGGGUCUUACCUGGUAAGAUUUCAAAAAAUGUUAAGUAAAGAAAACGGCAAUUGAAGCAGCAUCCAUUCCUGAUUAUCUUAAUUUAGCAUUAUCAUCAUGAUCAUCAGCCUCAUUUAUCAAUCAUGAUUUAUCAGUGUCAUCAUUACAUGUAUCUGUCAUCGUCACUACCAUCUUUUAUGUAUCAACAUCUUCAUGACAACUUUUUACCGUCUUUCACAAAUCAUUCAUAUCAUCAUCCAGCAGCAGCAUCAUCAAAAGCUGUCACUGUUGAUCGAUUUUGUUUUUUUUGCGGAAUUUCAACGAAACGACGGGAAAAAAAAAAUAACCCCACGCGACUCGGGGGCCUUGGUGCAGGCCGCUAGACGGAGGAGACGAUGGCUCCCUUGCGUGCUGGCUUGUUUUUGUUUUUAGCCGAAACGUUUGAUGUGUAGAACUAAAAACUAAAAACAUCCCACGUGCGCUGAGUUUCCACAAACUCAGCCGUGGUUGCGGCACGGCGCAACGCGCGAGCGAUAACUUUGUCUCAAAACUGACAACACGAUUCAGAGAGCGAGCAAGCGGCCGCGGCACGCCGGCGUCACGGAGCGAGCCACAAUGAUGGGCUCGAGGGUGGCGGCCGGAACUUCUAAUCAGCAAGCGGUGGUGCAGGUGACAACAGCGGGGACGCAGCGAGACACGGAGCGCCUGCUGCACAGUGAUUGAGUGCCGGCUGUCUGGGAUGUUGUGGCAUCAUCAGCAGGCGACCUGUUGGCGACGCGUCACCACCGGGCGGAGGUUGCGGUCACAACGAACGGGCAUCUGGCCCGGCAAAAAAUUCCCAAAACCGCCCGGACCACCACCGCACCAAUUGGCACCAACAAAAGAAGGCGACGACUGCUGCCGCUGCUGCUGCCGCUGGCGCUGCGUACAAUUUGUCAUCCUUCUCAAUGUCCGUGACUUGAAGGGGCCCGAGUUCCAAAGUGAGGCGCGGGUUUCCGAAAGAGACCGAGAGUUGGCGUGACACAGGGCAACGGGCCGUUUUGACCGUGAGGACCGAUUUCACACGGCAGCAAGCGCCCGCCAUCACCACCGCCAUCACCACCGCCAUCACCACCGCCAUCACCACCGCCAUCUCCGCCGCAACCACCGCCACCACCGUCGCCACCGCCGCUUCCGCCGCCAUCUUAAAUGCAGUUGGGGCCUCUGGUUUCACAAAAGCCCUUUGGACGCCUAUGCGGCGGUCGCUGCCAUGGCGAAGUUUUCCGUGGCGCCCCCCCGCCGCCCGCCGCCCACCGUCCGUCCGUCCGUCGACCAACGUCGAAAUGAAAAUAAAAAUCGCCGAGUACCUGGAGUCCCGCGUCCGACGUCGCCGAUCGGCGCGCAAAUCCAGCGAAAGCGGGAAUCUUCCGGAUGGCGCAGAUAAAGCUGCGGCGAUGUUCCAACGUAAAAAAAUUCCAUGACCCAGCAUGCUCGUCUUCUCGGCUUAAUGUCAUACGACCCCCUGUUUCUCCACUCUGUUUGCCCUAAAUGGAUUUUUUUCUCCUUCUCCUCUUCUUCUUCUUCCCCCCUUUGCGACGCGUCCACCGCGGUGGGGCUUCGGCCGCUCGCUUCGUGCCGCCUCGCCGUUUUUCGGCCGCGUUUUGCGCGCCCUCCGCCAUGAUUUUCCGCUCGCGGGCUCGGAUCCUCUUCUGCCGUGCUGCCGCCGCCGCCGCCGCCUCCGCGUUUGGCCGAGUGAUGCGCACCGUCACCGUCGUGUGUCCGAACGCCGCGCAGCAUCCCUCACCUGCGAUUGGUUGUGGCGCAAGGCAUCAUGGGAGCUCCACGGUCGCCGUGGAAACCGGUCCUCCAUCUUCUCCCUGGUCGCCACGGCACCAUCGUUCACCAGCCUCCUCAGUUUAGGGGGGGGGGGCAGGGAAGCGGUUGCGGCACUCUGGACGCUGGGCUGGCGUGCUCGCUACGCCAAAUCCAGGACGCUGAGAAAUUCAAAAAUAAGAUGAAAGAGAAGCGAAGCCCCACGGGGGUGUCUCCUCCUCCACCCCCCCGCCCCCUUUUCGUUCAAAGGCGGCCGAACGUUCCGUACACAAACGUGUGAAAUUGCGAUUGGAAGCGAGUGCGGCCACCUGUGCCCCCCGAACCUCCUCCCCGCGUGAUUAUUUGUAAAGAAAUAUAUAAAAAAUAUUGACAGUGCGCGUUGUGAUGGCGCAACAGCGCGUACAUUUCUACGUCGCCGAUUUUAACACUCGCUCGUGCAACGCAGCAAUAACAACAACGACGACAACAACAACAACAACAACACGGCGGUCGUGAGGAUUGCCAGUGCGCAUCGUUUUCAUCGUUAGCACCGAUUCUCAAAAUACUAAAACGCGCGGCAGACUCCACUCUUCCAGCCACGUCCACUCCUGCCCAGGGCUCCGUGGAAGGGAUAUUCCCCUGAAGUGUUCGCGUACGUUUCGGUUUUUUUGUUCUCGGUCACGAGGGGCGUGUGAAUGACCGAGGUGGUGAGUUCAUCGUUUUGCUGAUCAUCAUCAUCAUAUUCUCUCCUCGUACAGGAGCAGCGAUGCAAGACA